UGACGUACGUUCCUCUUCCUGUCUGCAGUGGAGCAGGGAGAUUUUUCUUCGUCACAGAGAAAUUGGGUUUUUUUCACCCAGAAAGUUUCUGGCUUCUGCCAAAGUUCAAACUUGCUGGUUUUGCAAAACCCGACACAC